AAACUGACUGUUCCAAAUUUUCAUUUAGGGUCACUGGUGUCACAUGAGUAUUGAGUAAUGAGUAUGAGGAUUUGUACAUUAAGGAAGAUAGGACUGUUGGGUAUUCUUGGUAUUUUAUCCAUCUUCGCCAUACACAGUUUAAAUGACACGUUUCAGCUUUAUGGACAGUGUUCAACCCCUACCUUGGCAUCCUUGACUACGAGUGAGUCUUCCCCUGUUAUCACAUCUCAAACCAUCUUCUCAUCCGGACACUGCACAAUGGAAGGAAGAGCUGAAAGCGUCCAAAAUAGAUGUUCCCCUACUAAGGGUAUACAUCACAAUGGGGCGGAUCUGCAGGUAUCGGAUUUGGUGGAAAAUCUCCCAUUCGAGCAAGGAACAUUAGGUUAAUU